rnacentral:rRNA from 1 species
ACGGGAGGCAGCAGUGGGGAAUAUUGGGCAAUUGGCGCAAGCCUGACCCAGCAACGCCGCGUGAAGGCUGAAGGUCUUCGGAUUGUAAACUUCUUUGAUUGGGGAAGAAUAAAUGACCUACCCAAAGAACAGGUCACGGCUAACUACGUGCCAGCAGCCGCGGUAAUACGUAGGUGACAAGCGUUAUCCGAAUUUACUGGGUGUAAAGGGCGUGUAGGCGGUUCUGUAAGUCAGAAGUGAAAUUCCCGGGCUCAACCUGGGCGCUGCUUCUGAAACUACAGAACUUAAGUACUGGAGGGGAAAGCGGGAUUCCUAGUGUAGCGGUAAAAUGCACAGAUAUUAGGGGGAACACCGGUGGCGAAGGCGGCUUUCUGGACAGUAACUGACGCUGAGGCGCGAAAGCGUGGGGAGCAAACAGGAUUAGAUACCCUGGUA